AAACAUUUCAAAUCGUUACAGCCGAGGCCCCAACGGACGAUUUCCAUCUAAUUUGACGUUAGUUGACCAAAAAAAUUAAUUUUAACCACCUUCUAAUCAAUUUUAGAAGAACAAAAUAGUAACUUUCCAUUCAUUAUAUUAAAAUAAGUUAAAAAUUAAAUUAGAAAAAGAAAAACAUAAAAGCUGUAAAUCUUCAUCUUUCCCACCGACCACCUGCCACCUUCCCUGGCCACUGCGAUGGCCGAAUCUCUCUCCUCUCUCUUUUCCCUCCCUUUUCCCACCAUUUUGAUCUCCAACAAGGUACUACAUACGGGCUGGAGUUAAUGUACGAGGCGAGAUCCAUAGCCGAUGCCCUCUAGAUCUGAUUAUUAUAAGAGGAUCCAAAUCUGAUUAUUAUAAGAGGUUAGUAUUUUGUGGGAUUUCACAAUUAUAAGACGAAAAUUAGGCACCCAAUGAUGAACAAACAAUACCAACCUUUGGAUCCUGUUCAAGUUACGAGGAUUUGGUUUACAAAGGCUGUGCAAAUCAAGAUUUCCAGGAUUUCAAUGGGAUUUUCAAGCAAACGCUUAAAAUUCUCUUCGACACAUUAAUCUCCCAAUCUCCACAGCAAAAUUUUACAAAGCCACAUCCGAAGACAGCCAAUUCGCCAUUAAUGGGCUCUUUCAAUGAAUAGGCGAUCUCUCAAAUUCCAACUGCGUGAAAAAAGACUCUGAAAUAUCCGAAAAGCUUUGUGGUCACUCCAUUGCUGUUAGAGUACAACUAAACGGAUGUUAUUUGAGAUAUGAAAUUGCUGGGUCUAGGCAAAUGAGUGGGACUGAGUUGCUGUACAAGGUUAGUGGUUCAAUUCGGAC
rnacentral:lncRNA from 1 species